rnacentral:rRNA from 1 species
GUAACGGAGGCGCCCAAAGGUUCCCUCAGAAUGGAUGGAAAUCAUUCGCAGAGUGUAAAGGCACAAGGGAGCUUGACUGCGAGACUGACAAGUCGAGCAGGGGCGCAAGGCGGGCUGAGUGACCCGGUGGUGCGGCAUGGAAGGGCCAUCGCUCAACGGAUAAACGGUCCGCCGGGGAUAGCAGGCUUACCUCCGCCAAGAGCCCACAUCGACGGGGAGGUUUGGCACCUCGAUGUC